ACUUUAAUCCUCCUAGGGGAACCUGUCCUUUAAUUCGAUAAUCCACGUUAACCUUAUCUAUUUUAGAACUAACAGCUUGUAUACCGUCGUCAAAAGCUAACCUUUAAAAGAAAAAAAGUUAACAAAAAAGAGAAAAUAAACCUCAACUCUCCAAAGUCAGAUCAAGGUGCAGCCAAUAAAUAGAGAAGAGAUGGGUUACAAUUAAGAAAUCACACUGGAAUCUUAAAUAAAAAAAUUAAGAAGAAAUAGGACUUAGAAGUAAUUUUUAUAAUUAAAUAAUAAUGAACACGGCAAUAAAGUGUGC
rnacentral:rRNA from 2 species